rnacentral:rRNA from 1 species
AAAAUGACUCUCGGCAACGGAUAUCUCGGCUCUUGCAUCGAUGAAGAACGUAGCGAAAUGCGAUACUUGGUGUGAAUUGCAGAAUCCCGUGAACCAUCGAGUCUUUGAACGCAAGUUGCGCCUGAAGCCAUUAGGCUGAGGGCACGCCUGCCUGGGUGUCACAC